rnacentral:lncRNA from 1 species
AAUUAUGUUUUGUUUAUGUGUAUCAGAUGAAAAUUUAUUUGUGUUAUGUACCAUAUGACGAGAUUUAAACCAUGCAAUCGAUAUACAACAAUGACGUACAUAAAUUCAGAUGUUACAAAAAUGUCAUAUAUAAAUAAAAGACCAAUAAAUGUAAAAAAAAAAUCAAGAACAACGAUAAAGUAGCAUGAUGUCAAAAUAAAAUACAAUCUAUAUUAUAUACUACUGCACUACUGUUUAUGUCAGACUACAUAUCCUCUGCCUC